UACGUAGGGCGCAAGCGUUGUCCGGAAUUUAUUGGGCGUAAAGAGCUCGUAGGCGGCUUGUCACGUCGAUUGUGAAAGCCCGAGGCUUAACCUCGGGUCUGCAGUCGAUACGGGGCUAGCUAGAGUGUGGUAGGGGAGAUCGGAAUUCCUGGUGUAGCGGUGAAAUGCGCAGAUAUCGGGAGGAACACCGGUGGCGAAGGCGGUUCUCUGGGCCUUACCUGACGCUGAGGCGCGAAA
rnacentral:rRNA from 1 species